rnacentral:rRNA from 1 species
CCUACGGGGUGCAGCAGUGGGGAAUAUUGCACAAUGGGCGCAAGCCUGAUGCAACCAUGCCGCGUGUAUGAAGAAGGCCUUCGGGUUGUAAAGUACUUUCAGCCAGGAGGAAGGCGUUAAGGUUAAUAACCUUGGCGAUUGACGUUACUCGCAGAAGAAGCACCGGCUAACUCCGUGCCAGCAGCCGCGGUAAUACGGAGGGUGCAAGCGUUAAUCGGAAUUACUGGGCGUAAAGCGCACGCAGGCGGUCUGUCAAGUCGGAUGUGAAAUCCCGGGGCUCAACCUGGGAACUGCGUUCGAAACUGGCAGGCUAGAGUCUUGUAGAGGGGGGUAGGAUUCCAGGUGUAGCGGUGAAAUGCGUAGAGAUCUGGAGGAAUACCGGUGGCGAAGGCGGCCCCCUGGACAAAGACUGGCGCCCAGGUGCGAAAGCGUGGGGAGCAAACAGGAUUAGAUACCCUUGUAGUC